CUCUCCCCUCCCUCUCUGCCUUUCUUUAGCCUCACCAUCAGAAUAUCAUCCCCUGCUAAAAUUAUAUCUCUAACUCUCUCUAUAUCACUACAUCCAACUAACUUUUUAACCACGUAAUAAAUAUUACGUUCUCCCUACCUCACCUUUAUCUUUGAUCACAU